rnacentral:rRNA from 1 species
AUUGAACGCUGGCGGCAGGCCUAACACAUGCAAGUCGAGCGGAGCGGCGGACGGGUGAGUAAUGCCUAGGACUCUGCCUGGUAGUGGGGGAUAACGUCCGGAAACGGGCGCUAAUACCGCAUACUAUCAGAUGAGCCCAGAUGGGAUUGGCUAGUCGGUGGGGUAACGGCUCACCUAGGCGACGAUCCCUAGCUGGUCUGAGAGGAUGACCAGCCACACUGGAACUGAGACACGGUCCAGACUCCUACGGGAGGCAGCAGUGGGGAAUAUUGCACAAUGGGCGCAAGCCUGAUGCAGCCAUGCCGCGUGUGUGAAGAAGGCCUUCGGGUUGUAAAGCACUUUCAGCGGGGAGGCGUUACCCGCAGAAGAAGCACCGGCUAACUCCGUGCCAGCCGCCGCGGUAAUUC